rnacentral:rRNA from 1 species
UACGUAGGUGGCAAGCGUUGUCCGGAUUUACUGGGUGUAAAGGGCGUGUAGCCGGGAAGGCAAGUCAGAUGUGAAAUCCACGGGCUCAACUCGUGAACUGCAUUUGAAACUGUUUUUCUUGAGUAUCGGAGAGGCGAUCGGAAUUCCUAGUGUAGCGGUGAAAUGCGUAGAUAUUAGGAGGAACACCAGUGGCGAAGGCGGAUUGCUGGACGACAACUGACGGUGAGGCGCGAAAGCGUGGGGAGCAAACAGG